AAACUUUUAACAACGGAUCUCUUGGUUCUGGCAUCAAUGAACAACGCAGCGAAAUGCGAUAAGUAAUGUGAAUUGCAAAAUUCAGUGAAUCAUCCAAUCUUUGAACGCACAUUGCGCUCGCCAGCAUUCUGGCGAGCAUGCCUGUUCGAGCGUCAUUU
rnacentral:rRNA from 1 species